rnacentral:tRNA from 1 species
GGUAAGAUGGCCGAGUAGGCAUUGGACUGUAAAUCUAAAGA